GCCCACGUAGCUCAGCACGGAAAGAGCGCCAGAUUACGGAUCUGGAAGCCGCAGGUUCAAAUCCUGCCGUGGGCACCA
rnacentral:tRNA from 1 species